rnacentral:rRNA from 1 species
CAGCCGCCACGGUAAUACGAAGGGGGCUAGCGUUGUUCGGAUUUACUGGGCGUAAAGCGCACGUAGGCGGAUUCUUAAGUCAGAGGUGAAAUCCCAAGGCUCAACCUUGGAACUGCCUUUGAUACUGGGGAUCUCGAGUCCGGGAGAGGUGAGUGGAACUGCGAGUGUAGAGGUGAAAUUCGUAGAUAUUCGCAAGAACACCGGUGGCGAAGGCGGCUCACUGGCCCGGUACUGACGCUGAGGUGCGAAAGCGUGGGGAGCAAACAGGAUUAGAUACCCGAGUAGUCCCUGUCUCUUAUAC